rnacentral:rRNA from 1 species
UACGUAGGGGGCAAGCGUUGUCCGGAAUCAUUGGGCGUAAAGAGCGUGUAGGCGGCCACUUAAGUCCUGCGUGAAAUCUUGCGGCUCAACCGCAAGCGGUCGUGGGAAACUGGGUGGCUAGAGUGCGGGAGAGGAGAGUGGAAUUCCUGGUGUAGCGGUGGAAUGCGCAGAUAUCAGGAGGAACACCGGUGGCGAAGGCGGGUCUCUGGGCCGUAACUGACGCUGAGGAGCGAAAGCAUGGGGAGCGAACAGG